rnacentral:rRNA from 1 species
UACGUAGGGUGCGAGCGUUAAUCGGAAUACUGGGCGUAAAGCGUGCGCAGGCGGCUUUGCAAGACAGAUGUGAAAUCCCCGGGCUCAACCUGGGAACUGCAUUGUGACUGCAUGGCUAGAGUACGGUAGAGGGGGAUGGAAUUCCGCGUGUAGCAGUGAAAUGCGUAGAUAUGCGGAGGAACACCGAUGGCGAAGGCAAUCCCCUGGACCUGUACUGACGCUCAUGCAC